GGGUGUCUCCUUCCUUCCUCACCGCCCCAUGUGUUUCCCUCCUGAUGCUGCGCACUUGGUGGAAGAGGACGAUGUCCCAGGUAUAGAAGGAGUGUACUGAGGUCUCCAGUCUUCGGUACUGGGUAUAUGAUAACUGCGCUUCCCUGCUAGGACAUCCAAACAAGCUGAACUUGUGAAGAAAAUUUCAUCAUGCAAUUAACACUUAUAAGGAUGAUGGAUUUAAAAAAUAUUUUAAUCUGUGGAU
rnacentral:snRNA from 11 species